UACAGAGGGGGCAAGCGUUGUUCGGAAUUACUGGGCGUAAAGGGCGCGUAGGCGGCCUGCUAAGUCGAACGUGAAAUCCCUGGGCUCAACCCAGGAACUGCGUCCGAUACUGGUUGGCUUGAGUCCGGGAGAGGGAUGUGGAAUUCCAGGUGUAGCGGUGAAAUGCGUAGAUAUCUGGAGGAACACCUAUGGCGAAGGCAGCUCGCUGGGACGUUACUGACGCUGAGACGCGAAAGCGUGGGGAGCAAACAGG
rnacentral:rRNA from 1 species